rnacentral:rRNA from 1 species
CUACGGGAGGCACCAGUGAGGAAUAUUGCACAAUGGGGGGAACCCUGAUGCAGCAACGCCGCGUGGAGGAUGACGCAUUUCGGUGUGUAAACUCCUUUUAUAUGUCAAGAAAAUGACGGUAGCAUAUGAAUAAGCACCGGCUAACUCCGUGCCAGCAGCCGCGGUAAUACAGGAUGGUGCAAGCGUUACUCGGAAUCACUGGGCGUAAAGGACGCGUAGGCGGGUUGGAAAGUCAGGUGUGAAAUCCUACAGCUUAACUGUAGAACUGCACUUGAAACUUCUAAUCUAGAGUAUGGGAGGGGGAGAUGGAAUUAGUGGUGUAGGGGUAAAAUCCGUAGAUAUCACUAGGAAUACCUAAAGCGAAGGCGAUCUCCUGGAACAUUACUGACGCUAAGGCGUGAAAGCGUGGGGAGCAAACAGGAUUAGAUACCCGAGUAGUC